UACGAAGGGGGGCUAGCGUUGCUCGGAAUCACUGGGCGUAAAGGGUGCGUAGGCGGUCGCGCAAGUCGGAUGUGAAAUCUCAGGGCUCAACCCUGAAACUGCAUUCGAUACUGCGUGGCUAGAGUGCUGGAGAGGAGACUGGAAUUUACGGUGUAGCAGUGAAAUGCGUAGAUAUCGUAAGGAAGACCAGUGGCGAAGGCGAGUCUCUGGACAGCAACUGACGCUGAGGCACGAAGGCCAGGGGGAGCAAACGGG
rnacentral:rRNA from 1 species